rnacentral:misc_RNA from 1 species
GAAAUGCGAUAAGUAAUGUGAAUUGCAGAAUUCAGUGAAUCAUCGAAUCUUUGAACGCACCUUGCGCUCCUUGGUAUUCCUUGGAGCAUGCCUGGUUGAGUAUCAUGAAAUCUUCAAAGUAAAUCUUUUGUUAACUCAAUUGGUUUCUACUUUGGUAUUGGAGGUCUUUGCAGCUUCACACCUGCUCCUCUUUGUUCAUUAGCUGGAUCUCAGUGUUAUGCUUGGUUCCACUCGGCGUGAUAAGUUAUCUAUCGCUGAGGACACUGUAAAAGGUGGCCAAGGUAAAUGCAGAUGAACCGCUUCUAAUAGUCCAUUGACUUGGACAAUACUUUUAUGAUCUGAUCUCAAAUCAGGUAGGACUACCCGCUGAACUUAAGC